AUGGACGAGGAGGAGGACAGUGAAAGAGAAGAAGAAACAGAUGAUGAGGAGUAUAAUGGAAGAGAAGAAGACGAUGAGAUGCAUCUCAGCUACUGGAUUAAAAAUAAGGAGAUCAAGAGUAAGGAUAAAAGUAAAACUUUGUGCCUAAUUUGCUACAUGGAGCGGAGGGACCCGGUUACUGAAAUUGCCAACAAAGAGAUUGAGAUCGAGCGUCAUCUCAGAAAAGUUCACAAGAUGCAGAAGAGGAAAGGUUAUCGGUGCCAAAGUAAAGGUUGUUGGGUGAGAGCUAGAAACAGAAGAGAUAUUGGCAGGCACCAAUUUCUAUGCCACAAUCUAUAG
rnacentral:rRNA from 1 species